rnacentral:lncRNA from 1 species
UAGAAGACCCACCAGAGCUCCUUGCCUUUCUCAGGGGACUCCCUCAAGGUGGUGAGUGCAGUUUCCCGAGGGCACUUGGUCUUCGGUGCUGAGAGCGACUUGGAGCAGAGUGUCCGGCGGAUACAGAAGUUGGGCAGCGCUCGCUGGGCAGUGAGGGACGCGCGGAGAUGUGCUUACUGGCUUGCACCCCAGAAGAGGCACCCCACCACCCCUUCUCACCUCUUUGUCCCCAAACGCCAGAACCAGCGCUGGGGACGGGGGUCGGAUGCCUCUCUGGAGAAGCACCGGGCCCCCGGAGUUACUGGCCAGAUGGGCGCGGCCACUAGAAUGGCCUGCUGAGUUCGGUGGGUACUUUGGGGUCCUGGGAGAACGGCAGACAGAAGACUCAAGCCCCGAGCGCUAACUCGGGAGAGUGUGAAUCCUGGAGCGGCCAAGCGGCCUCCAGGUUCACCGCUCCUGAGCGCUCCUGAGCACGUCACAGUGUCGGGCUGUACAGCAGAGGUAGGGCUGGGCACAAGCCGCAGGGCCUGCCUCACAAUGGUUAGGGUGCCCCGCAGGUACCAAGCAUACCUCCAAAAGUACUGAGUGGUAGCCAACUGCACACGCUUUGUCUCCCGACCAACCCCGACAUUUCAGACGGGAGCCACACGCACGAAUGAGCAGAUAUAGGCUUGGAGACCUAAAGGAAUAACGCAUUUCCAAAAGUCAGUCACGCUGCUCCAAGCUGGGAGGCAAGACCUGGGCUUGCCUGUGGCUCAGCCAGCCUUCAGAGCCUGCUGAUCCUUGGCAACACCAGAAGCAGGAGUUGGAGCAGAGUGCCGCAGCAGGGGCUCCUGAGGUGUCCAUUUCCUAUCUGGCUGACCUUGGGCAUAUCACCUAAACUCUGGGAGCCAUCAUUUUCACUUCUGAACAAAAGUUAGGGAUGAUUUAGUCGGGAUUAAAUAAUAUUUCAGAGCUGAGGACAGCAGACUCCGUGGGGCUCUGCACCUCUUUGUGUGAUUAAUCCCACCAUGACUCAACACCAAGGUUCCAGAGAACAGAUACUGCGCAGGGAGCCCUAGAGCCUCUCUCUGGUAAGACAAGAAUAGAGGGACAGAAGGGAAAGGGGAAGUAGUGCAUAGACAAAAGAGAAAACAGAGGGACUCAGAAUAUCACCAGGAAGACGUGGCGAACACAAGAAAUUUUGGCUUGAAGCUCUGUUUUUUUCAUAACUUACUAUGAGACCUUUGGCAAAUCCUCUCAGUCUUAGUUUUUCUUAAUCUCUAAGGUACCCUCCAGCCCUAACCUUGAGUGGUUUUGAUCCCAAAACCAGAUUUCAGGAUGCUAACUCAACUUCUUAAGUACAAAUGAUUAGACCAGAAGCUGUGGGUGGUGCUGGGAUUCAGGGUUACAGUUAGCAGCAGUUGUGGAAAGGCAGCAGUAGCUGGAAGGCUGUCCUCUUAGCCAGGGUCAAGCCUGAGCUAGAUUUUGAGGAUAGGGCAAUCAGUCAAGGGCCAAGAAAACGUGGACAAGGUGACUAUGCCAGGCAGUCAGGGAAAAGAUGGAGCUUCUCGUGACUUGCUGUCUGACUGAGGAGCUCCUUUCACCCCUCAGUUUUCCUUGCUGUCAAAUGGGAUCCCUAACACUCAGACACCUGUAGGAGGGACAGUCUGUGGGGCAGAUAAAGAGAUUUAAAUUGAAGGGCCAUGAGAUAGAUAAUGAUUAAAAAAAAAAAAAACCUUGAGAGAUUUAUCCUUUUGACAUGUCUUCAAAAACCAAUGUUAUCCAAACUGUCUUCCAGGUGCAGAUCUGUGAUAUACCUUGCUUUCUGGACCACCUUGACAAGUGAGCACCUCUUGUAUUGACCACCCUCCUUGCCCUGUUGAUGAAUGGGGAAACAAAAAGGACAGGUCAAGCAGAAGGUCACAGUCCCGCAGUCAUGGAGAAGAGAUGUGUUCUCCAGGCAGCCUCUCUUGGCAGCUGUAUAUGUAAGAGACUGACCAUGAACUUGGUCAGGAAUGUUAAUAGCUGUCAGGGAAAUGAAGGGUACGCUGGUGCCAAAGGUAGCACCACCUACUCACUGACCAGAUUCCACAGGGAGUUUGAUGUUGUAUUGUAAUCAGGACUGUCUGUAGGGGCACACCAAGUAAGUUUCUAUUGAAUUCUAGAAAACUUGACCACUUUACUUAAGUUAAACAAACAUUACCUUGAUAAACAUUUGUGACCAACUCUGAAAUGUUACUCAAAAAUUCCUCCUUUCUGCUCUUACUAAUUGGAGCCCCUGGAGGAAGGGCAGAGGAGAGAUUGGCAUCUUUUCUUAAGAUGCAAAUAUUCCUUAGAAGCCCAGAUUCCUUAAACUUCCAUUUUUUUUUGUUGUUGUUGUUAAGAUCGUGGGUGGAUAAGGUGAACCUGGAAGAAGGAGCUAGAGAUGAGUUACCCCUUAUUUCCACUGACUACACAGCAAUAAUUUUUUCAAUUGGGUUCUGAGAAACCUCUCUGGUGCCCAGAGGAGAGAGCAGGAAGGACUCAACCUUAACUCUCCUCAACUAGGGCAGUAUUGUAUUCAUUUCAUGUAGUGAGCUUCCAGGUACAAUUUCAUUAAGAAGAGAUUUUUCCCUUUGAAAUAAAAAGUUUGAAAGUCAUGGAAAUUUUCGCCUACUUUCAUACAUUUGGUGAGCAUCAUCUAUGGACCAGACACUACUCUUGGUACUGGAGAUAUGUUAAAGCAGCACUUAGCUCCCAGGUCAUCCCUCACAGAAGAUAGCAUUUCUUUUCCCCACACAUUCUUCUACUGGCUUCCCAUGUAAACUAGAUGCUCC